CUGUGCAUCCCUUUGUCAGGUGGUCGUCUUUCAUGGUCGUCUCACUGCCUCGUUGUCGUGGCUCCUUCAUCUCAAGCUCUGGUCGUGAAGGUGCUUGGACCAAGUAGGGUAUCCCAGACGUCCGUCUCUCACCCAUCCACACUGUCCAGCUCUUCCUGGAGGAUCACGAGGUCUGAUGGGAUUAAAAGUGACAGUCCUCAGUCUUCACACCAGUUCUCUUCACCUGACCAACACCCAGCUGUGCACCUGCUUCUUCUUCCUCCUCAGUGAUCCUCUGUAAACAACACGUCCUCUACGUCAGAUUGUUUAUUCAGCAACAGCGUUCCAGACUUUUUUUUUUUUUUCAUCCACAUUUCUUCUGCCAUUGGACACUGUUUUUCACAUUGUUGUUAUUCCAUCUGCCUACUUCUGGGUUUAAAUCUUGAGUCUCCAUGUUGGUAGACAUUAAAUAUCGAGCCAUUUAGUAUCGAGCCAAUCAUUUGAGCGCUAUAUAUUUGAGCACUAUAUGUUUAUAUAUAUAUAUAUAUAUCUUCGCUGGUAACACUUUACUUGAACCCCCCCUUCUGCAGUACUUUAUGCAUAUUUGAUACUUUUGAUGUUUAUAAAUGCACAAUAUUUAGUAGAUUAAAAUAAAUCUGUAAACUUAUCUGCUGCUUUGUUUGCUUCACUGCCUCCACCAGUUUUUUUGUUGACAUCUGUUUGGUGCUGAUAGACCAAAUGGACGGGGUGAAAGCAGAACCUCCUUGGUGGAGGUGUCUCUUAUUUUUAAAGUUGAUAUUUAAGCUGAUGCGGGUCAUUAAAGAUCACAGAGAUGCUCACACCUCAGUCAUACUGUGCAGAUGACCUCUGAGCGGCUCAUUCUCUGGAAAUAAACCGUUUUCAUGUCGCCUGAAUAAAGUUUAGUCAGUUAAUCGUUUUUGAUGAUGGUUCACGCUGAUCUGAAUCCAUAUGUGACUCUAAUGCGUCUGCCCAAGCUACUGAAGUGUAUUUCUGGGUGAUGAAUGUUUCUCACAUACUUUGGAUAGAACGAUAACAGUCCUAUAAUUGCCUCAGGCGUGUAUGUGUAUGUAUGUAAGGUCAGUCAGGAUACAGGCCCCAUUAACAGGCCGCCUGUCAGGCUGAUGACCAUUAGUACAAUAGUACUUGUUGGUUGUCACCUCCAUCAGCCAUAAGAGAAGACUGCAGAGGCCUUGGCCUCAAAACGUCUGGAGCAAUAUGAAACUGGAUGAUGUUGAAUAAUAUCACUGAUAAUAAUAAAUAAUUCAUAGCUUG